UGCCCCGUGAACCCUCUCCGCUGCCGCCUCCCCUCGCCCACCUCGACGGCCAUGUUCGUGGGUGGGGAGAGGCCAGCCCGACCCUCGGACGGCGGGACUCGCGGGCUACUUUAGGAGGAAGAGCAAGCUCCAUAACAGACAGAAGUUUAAAUUGUCAUUCCCAACUGCUAAUCAGGAAGCGGAAGUUAAACUCUUAGCAAAAUGGCAGCACCUGGAAAGACAAAUGGAGCCAAACUACCUGGGUUCAAAUCCUGACUCCACCACACGCUACGGUUACCAAUGAUCCUGAUCUGCCCAAGGCUGAGGAGUUUCCCAGGAUAUGGGACUUUCACUGCUAAAACCAGGAUAGUCCCAUGCAAAGCAGCAUGGCUGAUCACCCUACUUGCUGCCAUGAGACUACCACCAUCCUCGAGGAUGAUAGAUCCCAAGGAGAGAGUGACCCAGUCAACAUCCAGCCCCAUCAGCAUGUGACUUAUCCAGCCCCAGUCCAGUCACCAGAUAAUAGCAAAUGCAUGAGUUAAUUCAGGUGAGACCAUCAGAACGAUCUAGCUGAACUUGUCUCAAAUUGCUGUCCUCUGUUGGAGUUUUUCUGCACAUA
rnacentral:lncRNA from 1 species